UCUUCUUCUUCUCCUCCUCUUAUUUGCUCUCUUUUCUUUUUCCAUUUCAUUUUUGUUAGGUGAAUGGUUAUAAAACUCCUUCUUUUGGUAUUCAUAUGGAUCUUUAUACAUCCAAUAAAUAGCUAAAAUAUUAUCUGAGGUCAACAAUAUAUCAUAAAUUGAAGUUUGUGAUCUUUCUAUAACUCAUGAUCAUUUCCAAGAGUCCACUUAUAAGUUAUAACUGACCCGUCAAGUGUCAGCCAUUCUCU